UGGGGAAUUUUGGACAAUGGGCGAAAGCCUGAUCCAGCAAUGCCGCGUGUGUGAAGAAGGCCUUCGGGUUGUAAAGCACUUUUGUCCGGAAAGAAAUCCUUGGCUCUAAUACAGUCGGGGGAUGACGGUACCGGAAGAAUAAGCACCGGCUAACUACGUGCCAGCAGCCGCGGUAAUACGUAGGGUGCAAGCGUUAAUCGGAAUUACUGGGCGUAAAGCGUGCGCAGGCGGUUUGCUAAGACCGAUGUGAAAUCCCCGGGCUCAACCUGGGAACUGCAUUGGUGACUGGCAGGCUAGAGUAUGGCAGAGGGGGGUAGAAUUCCACGUGUAGCAGUGAAAUGCGUAGAGAUGUGGAGGAAUACCGAUGGCGAAGGCAGCCCCCUGGGCCAAAUACUGACGCUCAUGCACGAAAGCGUGGGGAGCAAACAGGAUUAGAUACCCUGGUAGUCCACGCCCUAAACGAUGUCAACUAGUUGUUGGGGAUUCAUUUCCUUAGUAACGUAGCUAACGCGUGAAGUUGACCGCCUGGGGAAUACGGUCGCAAGAUUAAAACUCAAAGGAAUUGACGGGGUCAUAGCUGUUUCCU
rnacentral:rRNA from 1 species